CGUCAGGGAGGUGUGUCUCUCCGCCAGCAGCAAACUUGACGUCACUACUUGGCGCGCGAAGGUCCAAUGUGGGACCGUUUGGUUACUGCUUGUAAUUUGAAAACACAACCUGUGAGCAGUAGCCAGGGCGUGCAGCGGCGUGCAGUGCGUGGGUAUGGUGACUGUGUGGCCUCUGAUGUGCAGGUGUGUGAGCUGCUGGACGAGAGAAGAGCAAACGAAAAGUAAACAUGGGAUUGCUGCCGCCUCAGGACACUAGGAGCAUUGCAGAAGCGCUGAGGAAGAUAAUACAACUCUUGACGCAGCGAACACAACUCUGUACUGAGGCAGGCAGUGGCUUCUCCCAACACCUCACGUGGUCAUCACAACAAGAUCCCAUCCCGUCACUGGCACCAAAUAUCUUCCCGUCCCGCGCCCUGGAUCUCCCGUCGCUAGGCAAGAUCUCCGAUAAUUAGCUGGCAGACAGGGCAGCGGGGGAUGAGGAGAGCGAGAGGGAGACAGGCGGCACGUCUCCCUCCUCCUUCUCCUCCUCCUCUUUCUUCUCUUUCCAGCAAUUCCACGUCAAAUGGGGAUGAUCCUCUUCAAACAGGAGUACAAAACUGAUCUGGCACCAACAAGCAAUAGAGUAGCAUCCCCACGUGCGCCGGACACUUCACCGCCACCCAGCUGUCCCGGCCCGCCAACACACCACAACAGCCUUCCCUGCGACAGCCUCCAAAUUGCCCCCGGGAAGCAAAGGAGGAAACGUCCAGAGAGUGUAUUUAUUUUACGGGAACACAAAGUUUACACAAGUUUGCUGACCUUGAUGACGACCAGACGUGAGCAGCCGCACCUGUUUCCUCCUGUUCUGACCUCGAGACAGUUAAUUAAAGGUGUGGCGAGAACGUACAGGUUAUUUGAGUUCACUCCUACAUUGCAAAGAACGAGGUGAAAGGUAACAAGAUAACCUAACAGUGCAUUUUUUUUUUUUUCAUUUACGUAAACAAUAACGAAAUUUAUUGUUUUCUUUGAUUAC